ACGCUGAUCGCCGCCGCCGUGGGGUGCGGGCUGCCCGUGGAGCGGCCCGAGGCCAGCAUGAUCCUGGUGUGCGGUGC
rnacentral:tRNA from 1 species